rnacentral:lncRNA from 1 species
AUAAAGGACAAGACUACCAACACAUUCCAUAUCCAGCACCAUAGCAUCAAAAACAUUAGAAACUGCUUCAAUUAUGUCAAGAAACUGUCUAAACAACAAUCAACAUUGAGUAUAGCUUCAAAUUCACUAUUAUGAACAUUAGAAGACAAGGCAGCUAAACUCAAGCUCAUUGGGAAGUCUCGAGUGCUUAAUAACCCACCAACAGUUGUUCCGGAUGAGAGAAAAUAUUAGUUUCAGAAGCAAGUACACAACAACAACAACAACCCAGUAUAAUUCCACUUAGUGGGGUCUUGGGAGGGUAGUGUGUACGCAGACCUUACCCCUACC